rnacentral:rRNA from 1 species
AGCUUGCUUCCCGCUGACGAGCGGCGGACGGGUGAGUAAUGCAUAGGAAUCUGCCCGAUAGUGGGGGAUAACCUGGGGAAACUCAGGCUAAUACCGCAUACGUCCUACGGGAGAAAGGGGGCUUUGGCUCCCGCUAUUGGAUGAGCCUAUGUCGGAUUAGCUGGUUGGUGAGGUAAUGGCUCACCAAGGCAACGAUCCGUAGCUGGUUUGAGAGGAUGAUCAGCCACAUCGGGACUGAGACACGGCCCGAACUCCUACGGGAGGCAGCAGUGGGGAAUAUUGGACAAUGGGCGCAAGCCUGAUCCAGCCAUGCCGCGUGUGUGAAGAAGGCCUUCGGGUUGUAAAGCACUUUCAGCGAGGAAGAACGCCUGUCGGUUAAUACCCGGCAGGAAAGACAUCACUCGCAGAAGAAGCACCGGCUAACUCCGUGCCAGCAGCCGCGGUAAUACGGAGGGUGCAAGCGUUAAUCGGAAUUACUGGGCGUAAAGCGCGCGUAGGUGGCUUGAUAAGCCGGUUGUGAAAGCCCCGGGCUCAACCUGGGAACGGCAUCCGGAACUGUCAGGCUAGAGUGCAGGAGAGGAAGGUAGAAUUCCCGGUGUAGCGGUGAAAUGCGUAGAGAUCGGGAGGAAUACCAGUGGCGAAGGCGGCCUUCUGGACUGACACUGACACUGAGGUGCGAAAGCGUGGGUAGCAAACAGGAUUAGAUACCCUGGUAGUCCACGCCGUAAACGAUGUCGACCAGCCGUUGGGUGCCUAGCGCACUUUGUGGCGAAGUUAACGCGAUAAGUCGACCGCCUGGGGAGUACGGCCGCAAGGUUAAAACUCAAAUGAAUUGACGGGGGCCCGCACAAGCGGUGGAGCAUGUGGUUUAAUUCGAUGCAACGCGAAGAACCUUACCUACCCUUGACAUCUACAGAAGCCGGGAGAGAUCCUGGUGUGCCUUCGGGAACUGUAAGACAGGUGCUGCAUGGCUGUCGUCAGCUCGUGUUGUGAAAUGUUGGGUUAAGUCCCGUAACGAGCGCAACCCUUGUCCUUAUUUGCCAGCACGUAAUGGUGGGAACUCUAAGGAGACUGCCGGUGACAAACCG